UCCCUCUUUCAGUAAUGUAAAUGUUUAAGUGAUGUAACCAUUUUAUGAUGAUAGAUUUUGUAAAUUUUUAUUUCUAAUCAAAAGCAUGAACUAUGAUGGUGUUCAUUACGUGAACAGUAAUUGGAAAAUAGAUAGUAACAUUGUAUUCAAAGGCAAGAAAUAAAAUUCUGAAUUUUUCUCAAAGCGGAAAGAGGUAAACUGCCGUUGUGCCAUCAGACUAGCUAGACCUCGGUAUCAGAUACAGAGAUGGAAUAAUGCACCUUACUGUCGGAAAGAAGAAAGAAUCUUUGAAAUCUUAUAAGGAGGUAGUCAUACAGCAUGCAGGUGUUCCCAUUUUAUUUGUUCAGUCAAGACAUCAUUAAUUUCCCAGUCUGGCGUAUUGUGACUUCUGUUAGAUUUGUUGUAUACUGGUGAGGGUAUGCCUUCAGCUUCUCAUGUGGGUUGUUUCUGGUUACAUAGCUCCUGUUGAGUACAGUUGAAAAGGGGAGGUGACUCUUCAUUAAAAGGUGACAUAUAUUUUAAAUUCUUGCUGUCUCUAACCAAGAAAGGUCCCUGUUUUUGAGAAAGAAAAAGGUCCCUUAAAUAAUUUCCCUGUCACGGCUAUACGUACUGGUUUUAUUCCUUUCAUAUCCUCAUGGAUGUAGGGAUAAUCCCAUACGCUUCUAUACGAAAACAAAAAGGAUUUGGUAUUUUCUUACCAUAAUCGAAGUGUACUUUCAAUUUAAAAAGCAGAUCUUCACCUUAAUUGUCUUUCUCCUGCUGUAUUUCUCUUUAUAGUCUUAAAGAAAGAAAAACUGUCUCUUAAGUACAAGAAGAUGUUAAGCAAGGGAGACUCAAAGCUAAAACUUGGCAAGCACUAAAACAAAGAAUUUUUCCAAGGAAAUGGAAGAGACAGGUCAAAUUAAAUCCUUAUGUAACUCCAUUUACCUCAGUGCAGUUACAUGAAGGAUUAAUUUGGUACCUAAUACCUCUGAGGUCAGAAAAGGAUUUCUGCGAUCUCAAUCAUUGCAGUAUAAAAUAAUCAUUCUUAAGAAACAAAUUUGUAGUUUGUCUGAUAGAACUGCCCUUAUUAUUUUUAGACUAUUAAUAUAAUUGUAAAAGAACAAUAAGUCUGCAGAACAACAACAAAUUAAUCUUCAUAAAAAGAUUAGUACAUGAUGAUUUGCAGCUUACAUCCUUAGUAACUUUUUUGUGGGAAAGAGGAAUUCAUGACAGACUGCUAAAAUGGGCAGUGACAUCAGGGACAGCUUCUCUUUCUUCUAAGUUCCAAAAGCUUUUCUCCAGUUUGCUGCAUUGCAACUUUAACUUUUUCCCUCUGAUCUCAUUCUUCUCCCCUGACCAACCCUAAUUCAGUUCUCCUUUCCCUCUAGUUUUUUUGGGUUCCACUGUGUGUGCAAGGAUCUCUGUGGCUUCUCCUUACUGCUGAGUUUUCCAAAUUUUUCUCCUCGGGCAGAAAUAUUCAACCUCUUGGGACAGAUAAGGGAGAGAUGUUUGGCCUCCACCAUAAUUUCUUUUUAAUUUUAAAUUUCAAUAUGCUUAAAUUUGAGAUGCCUUAAAAUAAUGCAUUUUCACUGUGAGAACCCAGCCUCCCUGUGUCAAUCUGUAGUACUCAAAUAUAGCUGAAUCCAGAGAUUAUUGCCAUUUUAAGACCUUCUUAUGAAACAUUAACACCUGCCUCCCUACCUCACUCCAAAAUUCAGGAAAUACUUUUAAUAUCAGUAUGUUAAAUAAAAUGUUUUAAUCCUGUAAUAUAAGAGCAUCCAUAUAGUAUAUUAGUGCAGUGAAAUUGAAGUCAACAGUCUAUGUCUUUUUGAUCGUUACCAACAUGCAACUAUCAGUUUUAAUACAGAGGAAAGGAUCUGUGUAUACAUGCUUAUAAAGAUGUGAAAAUACAAAGGCAUUUAUUGAAAAUGGACAAAACCAGGAAGAUGAUAAAAUAGCAGAAGGAAGUGGCCUCAGAUAUAAAAAUUUUUUCUUUGUAUAGCAGAAUUUAUCACUAAAAGCUAAGGUUGGCAAAUUGCCAUGCUUCAGAUAAAACAAGCAAUGUAAUGUAAAAAAAAAUAUUUACUUAGUGUACAAAAUACAAUAGACACAUUUGGAAAACUAAUGUCCUAGAAAGUAAAUCAAUUAGAUAAUUUUUGUUUCCUUUUUUUAUGUGUGUCUUUAAAAGCUUCGUUAUAUUUUCAGUUUCCAGCAAUCUCAGUUGUACAGAUGCAAGCUCUCCUUUAAAGGUGUCUAGAUCAGGUAUGCCAUUCAGCAGAAUGUAGAAAAUUUCCAAAUAUCCAAAAUUAAAUAAAGAUGGUGAAGAAACAUUUUGAAAGUGGAAGAUUUGCUUUCAAAUUAGCACCACUAUUAAAGCAUGUUUUAUAGAAAAAAUGAUUCACAUAUUUAAUAUAGCUACUGCACAAUUUUAAUCCAUAAAGCUACUCAAGUAAAUGUGUACUGCUCAGCAUUUUCACACUAGAUAAAGAAUUAUUUUUUUUAACCUAGUAUCUUCUCCAUUUCCUUAUAUGUUUGUGGGGAAAAAUCAAAAGCUUUAGGAAAUAACAGUACAUUUAUACCUGAAAGACUUUCACAUAAAAGUUUUUUAGAUCUUCUGUUGACUGAGAACACUUCAAAUGCAUGAGAAUCUCGGGUAUUUAGUUCAGUUAUUGUACCAGCUGAGAACAAGUGACUUCUUUUCUGCAAGGGUGUUUUCUCCUCUCUGGCCUGAUAAGGCCUGCAUUCUGGUAUUCCAGCUAUAAGAGAAGCCGUUUCACUAGAAGAUGGAGAAUAAGCACAGCUAAAUUAUCAUGACUAACAAAAUCAUGCCCUUGCUCUUUAUUCCCACCUGUAAGGCUUUUCCAGAACUUAGCAUGUAUGGAGGGCUGCAAACCUGAAAAACAAGAUGGCAGAUAACUUCAAUUAAAACAAACAGAUAAUUUUUUCAACAUCUUCAUCACAUUUGCAAGAUAAAUAGACUGUUAUCUGAGUCCUAUUUAUAUUCUUAAAUAAUCUCUCUCUCUCUCUCAGUGAAAACCUUUUUGAACUUUUGUUGACAAGAAUCGUUAAUCUCCCUCAUAGAUUAAAUUAUUCCAUGAAGUAUUUUUAGGCAUUUCUUAUAUUUGAAUCUUCAGUGCCCUGAUUGCUUCUGCAGAAUUUCCAGAUUCAUUCUUUAUGAAGAACAGUAGCCUGGCAGUUCUUUUUCUAGCUGCUGCUUUUUCCUGAAAUGGUCUGGACUUUCUGCAUAACUUGUACAAAGCUUUCCUUUCUAUAAAUGUUGUAUUUCAUUCUGUUUUAGUAAAGCUGAGAUAUACAGAUAUGAGUUAAAAAAAGAUAAAUUAUUCUUCAAAUUCUUCAGCUAAAAUAAUGAAAAGCUCUCUUGAAACUAUUAGAAAGGAGAUAAUAUUGUUUCUAUUAGUUUAUGAAACUGCAAGUAAUGACAGAUAAAUGCAGAUAAGGCAGUCUUCUCAGAAAUCUAAACUGCUAAUCAAUUAAAGAUGUUCUUCCAGAAUGCUGACCGUAGGCAAUAGGAAUGAGUAAGGCAGUAUCUUUAUCACACUGGGACUUUGGAAGAUCCAUAUUAAUUUUAGAAUAAUCCAACAGAAAAGAAAGGUAUGCUUUUACCAUGCUUCGUGUAGCUCUUGGGGAUGCAUUUCCAUUCUUUGCUACUGGACAUUUUAUCAUUUAUGGAAAGUACUUAAGCAGAAAUUUAUCCUUGAGCUAAACAAGCAAAGAUAUUCAUGCAUGUCUAUGUUUAUAUGUAAAUAUUUUUGUAUGGUUAUAUACAUGCAGUCAGAAAACUACAAUUUCAUAUUUUAUGUUAAUGAAAUGGUAUUUUAUCUCUAGAUCACAGGGUCAGAGGUAUGCUGGGAGUAUGAUGAGCAAGAGAUUCUCUGAAUGUUGCUACAAAGUUGGUGUGGAUAUACUGCAUCGGUUUCAGUCCAGUUUUGAACAGAGGCAUGUCCACUCAUGUUCAAUAAUUGGUUGAAUAAUGGAAACUCCUUUUUUAUGUCCUUACAGAGCCCAUUAGCAGAAGUUUAGAUGCAGACUCCACCUGAGUUUGGAGUCUGCCUCAUUAAAAUAAUUUUUCCUCCCCUUCUGCUAACAAUCAGCAAUUGUUUAACACUUCUGUAGUACUUCUUUGAUAAAGCCACCGGUAAUAACAGCAAAUUUAAAAAAUGUCAUGUAAAAUCUCACUGAAUUAUUGAAUUUAGUUCAAUGUUAGUUGGGGUGUCUUCUGUUGUAAGUGGAAAUUACAAGGAGACACUCUGUUACUACUAUGCUGAUGUGUGUGUCAGUCACAACGCCCUUUAGAAUAACUGGGAGAAACUGACUAUGGAUUCUUCCUUACUGUAAUAAGAAAUUACUACAACAUAACAAUGUUUGUCAGAUCAAUUUGAAAUAAUUUGUUGUGAUUUAAACUGUGAAAAGAAAAAGACCUCUGAAAAUAUUUUUUUAUACCCAUUUCUUGUAACAGCCUAAUUUAUUGUAAGGACUUUCUAAUUAAUGUAAAUUGUGUGACUUCAUUAACUCACCGUUUUAAGAAGAUAGCCCAGUAUAUUUUCUUGAUCAUUAGUAGUAGAUAAAAAUACUAAACUUUAUUUCUUUAACUGCAGCACCUACAUCAAGCAGCUGAACUAAACAAAGUAAUGAAAGAGCCAGCAGAUCACAGAAACUGCAGUGUUUUAUUAUACUGCAAGCUUCCCAGCCAGAAGUGUGCAAAACAUACAGAGUUGUCUCCUGGACAGCAUGGGCUAAAGUCUCCAGCAGAACUACAAGCUUUCUCCAGCCAGCCCAUUACUGAAAUACUAUUGAUGCAGUGAGAAACCCCAUUAAGACUGUCUUUCCCAGGAGAAAAAUGCAGAUGAAAUGAAUCCUUCCAAUGAGCAGCUGCACUCGAGUUCCCCCCUGCUGAUUCACUCAAACUCAGAGGCAUUUCCUUGCCAACAGAAGGCAGAGGUAUAGUAGUAAAGAGAGAACAAUUCCUGGUGUUAAAAUAAAAUAAUUCUUGUAAACUGCUA